rnacentral:snRNA from 1 species
GGAUGUGAGGGCGAUCUGGCUGCGACAUCUGUCAUCCCAUUGAUCGCCAGGGUUGAUUCGGCUGAUGUGGCUGGCUAGGCGGGUGUCCCCUUCCUCCCUCACCGCUCCAUGUGCGUCCCUCCCGAAGCUGCGCGCUCCGUCGAAGAGGACGACCAUCCCCGAUAGAGGAGGACCGUUCUUCGGUCAAGGGUAUACGAGUAGCUGCACUCCCCUGCUAGAACCUCCAAACAAGCUCUCAAAGUUUAUUUUAAGUUUAAGUUUUAUGUUUACUUUUUUCCUAGAUCAAUGUUACCGUAUUAAUUCAU